GCCUGUAGCUCAGCUAGGUAGAGUACCUGACUUUUAAUCAGGCUGUCAAGGGUUCGAAUCCCUUCAGGCC
rnacentral:tRNA from 1 species